rnacentral:rRNA from 1 species
UGAAGAAUCUUCCGCAAUGGACGAAAGUCUGACGGAGCAACACCGCGUGAAGGACGAAGGCCCUCGGGUCGUAAACUUCUUUUCUGAGGGAAUAAGUUCUGAAGGUACCUCAGGAAUAAGGCGCUGCUAACUACGUGCCAGCAGCAGCGGUAAUACGUAGGCGCCAAGCGUUAUCCGGAAUUACUGGGCGUAAAGCGUCCGUAGGCGGCUAAAUUAGUCGGGUGUUAAAUUUUCGUGCCUAACGCGAAAAACGUACUCGAAACUGUUUAGCUACGAGUCUGAAAGAGGUCACUGGAAUUCCUACUGGAGGGGUAAAAUCCGUAGAUAGUAGGAGGAACACCAAAAGCGAAGGCAGGUGGCUGGUUCAGUACUGACGCUCAGGGACGAAAGCGUGGGGAGCAAACA